GGGUGAGUAAUGCCUAGGAAUCUGCCUGGUAGUGGGGGAUAACGUUCGGAAACGGACGCUAAUACCGCAUACGUCCUACGGGAGAAAGCAGGGGACCUUCGGGCCUUGCGCUAUCAGAUGAGCCUAGGUCGGAUUAGCUAGUUGGUGAGGUAAUGGCUCACCAAGGCGACGAUCCGUAACUGGUCUGAGAGGAUGAUCAGUCACACUGGAACUGAGACACGGUCCAGACUCCUACGGGAGGCAGCAGUGGGGAAUAUUGGACAAUGGGCGAAAGCCUGAUCCAGCCAUGCCGCGUGUGUGAAGAAGGUCUUCGGAUUGUAAAGCACUUUAAGUUGGGAGGAAGGGUUGUAGAUUAAUACUCUGCAAUUUUGACGUUACCGACAGAAUAAGCACCGGCUAACUCUGUGCA
rnacentral:rRNA from 1 species